rnacentral:lncRNA from 1 species
CCUGGUAUUUAUGAUGAGUUUAUUGAUUAAGAUUAUAAUACAAUGUUUGCCGCUGUGCCCCUGUUUUUUUUUUUUACAUUUUUAACUUUUGUGUCUAAUUCUAUUGUUCACACAUCGUUGUCAAUAUAAUGGAAUUUUAUUCGACUGUUAUACAAGCAAGAGGUUUAGCGCUAUAAAACUAGGUUCAAUCUUCCAUUUUCUACAUAAGAAAAUGACUGUUCCAAGUCGGGAAUAUAAUAAUUGUGAAUUGUUAUUAAUUCGUACAACUUUUAGAGCUUUUGAUUUUGCCAUAUGUUUAGGACUUUCCAUUUUGAAUUUUCCUCAGAGUUCAGUGUUUUUGUGAUUUUUCUUUUAACAGCAGUAACAUAACCCUCUGUCUUAUCUCUAUAUUUAAAUAGCUCAGUAAAUUUAUUCACUUGUGCAAGUUUACACUAUUUAGACUUCAUCAACAGGGAUAUGCUCUUAACAUAUAAAAAAUCUCAAACAUACCAAAAAAGAACGACUAAAAUCGACACUGAAUAAGUUUUACACUACCAUGACGACGAGUAGGUAUCUCAAAUUCCUCGCGACAUGUGUUUGCGGUCUUAUAUAUAUCAUUUGAUACCAGCAUAGUCAUCCGAUCUAUAAUUUUAACCGAUUGUGAAGUCCCCCGCUCAUUUUGAAGGUUAUGCGAUUCCAUCAGAUUUAAUUUGUUACCUUAUUUUGUCUAUUCCAAACCAAUUUACGAUAUCUGAACAUCGGUUAACAUUUUUAAACAUUGCUGUAUAAGCGGGUGUUUUUCUUAAACUGUC